rnacentral:rRNA from 1 species
AGCUCCAAUAGCGUACAUUUAAGUUGUUGCAGUUAAAAAGCUCGUAGUUGGAUUUUGGGUUGGUGUGGUCGGUCUGCUUUCUAGUUGAACUGGCUACUCCAUCCUUCUUGCCGGGGACGCGUUCUGGCCUUAAUUGGCUGGGACGCGGAGUCGGCGAUGUUACUUUGAAAAAAUUAGAGUGUUCAAAGCAGGCCUACGCUCUGAAUACAUUAGCAUGGAAUAACGUGAUAGGACUCUGGUCCUAUUGUGUUGGUCUUCGGGACCGGAGUAAUGAUUAAUAGGGACAGUUGGGGGCAUUCGUAUUUCAUUGUCAGAGGUGAAAUUCUUGGAUUGCCGGAAGACAAACUAUUGCGAAAGCAUUUGCCAAGGAUGUUUUCAUUGAUCAAGAACGAAGGAAGGGGGAUCGAAAACGAUCAGAUACCGUUGUAGUCUCUUCUGUAAACUAUGCCAAUUGGGGAUUAGACCAGGAUUUUUAAUGACUGGUUUAGCACCCGAAGAGAAAUCUUUAAAUGAGGUUCGGGGGGGAGUAUGGUCGCAAGGCUGAAACUUAAAGGAAUUGACGGAAGGGCACCACCAGGUGUGGAGCCUGCG